UGGGGAAUAUUGGACAAUGGGCGCAAGCCUGAUCCAGCCAUGCCGCGUGAGUGAUGAAGGCCUUAGGGUUGUAAAGCUCUUUCGCCAGGGACGAUAAUGACGGUACCUGGAUAAGAAGCCCCGGCUAACUUCGUGCCAGCAGCCGCGGUAAUACGAAGGGGGCUAGCGUUGUUCGGAAUCACUGGGCGUAAAGCGUAUGCAGGCGGAUCGUUAAGUCGGGGUGAAAUCCCGAGGCUCAACCUCGGAACUG
rnacentral:rRNA from 1 species